GAACAUCUAUGGGCACCAUCUGUCUGAUGAGCAUCGGUUCUUUCCUUCCAGAAACCUCUUUCACAUCUCUCUCCUUUGUGAUGCUGGAAAUUGAACCCAGGGCCUCACACAUGCUAAUCAAGUGCUCUACCACUGAGUUACACCUCCAAACCCUCCUCUAUGAAUCUUAUGAUGCUGGCCCCAUUGUAUCCCAAGAAAGAUCCGUAGCAGGUUUGAUGGUAGCUGAUCACCUGAUGGGAUAGGCGGCAGUAGAUGUGGGGAAGGUAGGAAAGAGCACAGGGGAGUGUAGUUCAAGUUCAGAGCCUGGCUCUGCUACUUAAUGACAUCACAAAGCCAUAUUUAUAUUCUCCUUACUUCAAAGUGGCCUCAUUCCAGUAAACUAUCCUGAUGACAGGGACUUAAACAGUGGCCCAGUGAAAGCCCACCUGUUUUUGUACACUUCAGGCUGUGGAGCUUUGCUCAAGAAACAUGAAGAACCAUUGCUACUUCACCUGCCUCCAUAAUAACCCAGUGUUGUGUUUGGCUCCUACAGAAGAAUGAUACAAUUGGAACCAUGGAAUAUAUGUUAUAAGUCUAUGCAAUGAAGAUUCCAGCACAAGGAAUUGAAAGCCAAAUAGGAGACAACAAAGUAACCCAGAGAUUGGCAAGCACCAAUCAUGACUAUCAUGGAAGUCUGAAAACUUCACAACUUUGGAUUAUAAUAAACAAUCCCUCCUUUUAA